GACGAACGCUGGCGGCGUGCUUAAUACAUGCAAGUCGAGCGAAUCUUUAGGAGCUUGCUCCUAAAGGUUAGCGGCGGACGGGUGAGUAACACGUGGGCAACCUGCCUAUAAGACUGGGAUAACUUCGGGAAACCGGAGCUAAUACCGGAUAAUUCCUUUCCUCUCAUGAGGAAAGGCUGAAAGACGGUUUCGGCUGUCACUUAUAGAUGGGCCCGCGGCGCAUUAGCUAGUUGGUGAGGUUACGGCUCACCAAGGCAACGAUGCGUAGCCGACCUGAGAGGGUGAUCGGCCACACUGGGACUGAGACACGGCCCAGACUCCUACGGGAGGCAGCAGUAGGGAAUCUUCCGCAAUGGACGAAAGUCUGACGGAGCAACGCCGCGUGAGUGAUGAAGGUUUUCGGAUCGUAAAACUCUGUUGUUAGGGAAGAACAAGUACGAGAGUAACUGCUCGUACCUUGACGGUACCUAACCAGAAAGCCACGGCUAACUACGUGCCAGCAGCCGCCGUAAUAC
rnacentral:rRNA from 1 species